rnacentral:rRNA from 1 species
GAUGAACGCUGGCGGCGUGCCUAAUACAUGCAAGUCGAGCGAACAGACGAGGAGCUUGCUCCUCUGACGUUAGCGGCGGACGGGUGAGUAACACGUGGAUAACCUACCUAUAAGACUGGGAUAACUUCGGGAAACCGGAGCUAAUACCGGAUAAUAUAUUGAACCGCAUGGUUCAAUAGUGAAAGACGGUUUUGCUGUCACUUAUAGAUGGAUCCGCGCCGCAUUAGCUAGUUGGUAAGUUAACGGCUUACCAAGGCGACGAUGCGUAGCCGACCUGAGAGGGUGAUCGGCCACACUGGAACUGAGACGCGGUCCAGACUCCUACGGGAGGCAGCAGUAGGGAAUCUUCCGCAAUGGGCGAAAGCCUGACGGAGCAACGCCGCGUGAGUGAUGAAGGUCUUCGGAUCGUAAAACUCUGUUAUUAGGGAAGAACAAAUGUGUAAGUAACUAUGCACGUCUUGACGGUACCUAAUCAGAAAGCCACGGCUAACUACGUG